UACGUAGGGUGCGAGCGUUAAUCGGAAUUACUGGGCGUAAAGCGUGCGCAGGCGGUGAUGUAAGACAGAUGUGAAAUCCCCGGGCUCAACCUGGGAACUGCAUUUGUGACUGCAUCGCUGGAGUGCGGUAGAGGGGGAUGGAAUUCCGCGUGUAGCAGUGAAAUGCGUAGAUAUGCGGAGGAACACCGAUGGCGAAGGCAAUCCCCUGGACCUGUACUGACGCUCAUGCACGAAAGCGUGGGGAGCAAACAGG
rnacentral:rRNA from 1 species